GAUGAACGCUGGCGGCGUGCCUAACACAUGCAAGUCGAACGGAAAGGCCCUGCGUUUGUGGGGUGCUCGAGUGGCGAACGGGGGAGUGACACGCGAGUAACCGGCCCUUGACUUUGGGAGAACUUUAGGAAACUGGGGCUAAUACCGGAUAGGAGCUCCUGCAGCACGGGGGGGGGUGGAAAGUGUCGGCGGUGGGGGCUGGUCUAGCGGCUUAUCAGCUUGUUGGUGGGGUAGGGGAUGACCAAGGCUUCGACGGGUAGCCGGCCUGAGAGGGUGGCCGGGCACAUUGGGCCUGCGGUACGCAGCAGUCUCCUAUGGGAGGCAACAGGCGGAAGUAUUGCGCAGUGGGCGGACGCCUGAUACGGAGGCGCCGCGUGCGUAAUGACGUCCUUUGGGUUAUGAACCGCUUUCGCCUGUGACGAAGCGUGAGUGACGGUACUGAAUAAAGAAGCACCGGCUAACUACGUG
rnacentral:rRNA from 1 species